UAGUAAUUUCCUUCCAAAUAAGUUCACAUGUAAUAGGUAGAAAUUCUGUAUAAGAAAAAAGCAUUAACAAUACUAUUAUAACUGCUUCAUUUGCUGGGAACCAUUAAAAGUAGUAUAAAUUAGCUUUUUCCAGAAGGAUCCUUUUGUAGCAGUGUUUAUGAAUGUAACCCCCAGCAAAAUGUGACUAUAUAUUAGGGGAGCCAGUUUGGAGCAGAGGCCUGAAGGUCCCUGCUAUGCAGCAGUGGCAGCUCGCAGCACCAGUGCCGUGGAGCAUCCGCACCUUUGAUGGCAAUGCAGAGUGAUAGCAGGUUCCAUAGGUGUGACAAAACAGCAUUAAAGCUCAGUAUUUUGCAUAUUUUUAGCAUUUAAAAAUAUUUUUGCUUUAGUGUGAGGAAAGUAAGGAUGGGCAAAGAGGCGAUCAAAAUAGCUAUUGCUAUGACAUUUUAGAAAACAAAGUUGGGGCCGUAUUUCUUUAAAAAGAUAAGCCUCUAAAAAUGCUUGGCAAAAAAAGUAUAGUGUUAAAAUAGGCAGUGAUAUUAACGAGAAAAUGAAAGUAUGUAUCAGGAAUAAAGUGAUAUUGCAUAGGAGUACUGUAUUUUUAUGAAUUUUAUGCCAGUUGUUUACAUGUACUAUAUAUGUUAAAUUUAAAAAAUCAUGAAAAAUGA
rnacentral:lncRNA from 1 species